rnacentral:rRNA from 1 species
AGUGAACGCUGGCGGUAGGCCUAACACAUGCAAGUCGAACGGCAGCACAGUAAGAGCUUGCUCUUACGGGUGGCGAGUGGCGGACGGGUGAGGAAUACAUCGGAAUCUACUUUUUCGUGGGGGAUAUCGUAGGGCAACUUACGCUAAUACCGCAUAUGACCUACGGGUGAAAGCAGGGGAUCUUCGCACCUUGCGCGAUUGAAUGAGCCGAUGUCGGAUUAGCUAGUUGGCGGGGUAAAGGCCCACCAAGGCGACGAUCCGUAGCUGGUCUGAGAGGAUGAUCGGCCACACUGGAACUGAGACACGGUCCAGACUCCUACGGGAGGCAGCAGUGGGGAAUAUUGGACAAUGGGCGCAAGCCUGAUCCAGCCAUACCGCGUGGGUGAAGAAGGCCUUCGGGUUGUAAAGCCCUUUUGUUGGGAAAGAAAAGCAGCAGGUGAAUACCCCGCUGUUCUGACGGUACCCAAAGAAUAAGCACCGGCUAACUUCGUG